AGUGAACGCUGGCGGUAGGCCUAACACAUGCAAGUCGAACGGCAGCACAGUAAGAGCUUGCUCUUACGGGUGGCGAGUGGCGGACGAGUGAGGAAUACAUCGGAAUCUACUUUUUCGUGGGGGAUAACGUAGGGAAACUUACGCUAAUACCGCAUACGACCUACGGGUGAAAGCAGGGGAUCUUCGGACCUUGCGCGAUUGAAUGAGCCGAUGUCGGAUUAGCUGGUUGGCGGGGUAACGGCCCACCAAGGCGACGAUCCGUAGCUGGUCUGAGAGGAUGAUCAGCCACACUGGAACUGAGACACGGUCCAGACUCCUACGGGAGGCAGCGGUGGGGAAUAUUGGACAAUGGGCGCAAGCCUGAUCCAGCCAUACCGCGUUGGUGAAGAAGGCCUUCGGGUUGUAAAGCCCUUUUGUUGGGAAAGAAAAGCAGCAGGUUAAGACCCCGCUGUUCUGACGGUACCCAAAGAAUAAGCACCGGCUAACUUCGUG
rnacentral:rRNA from 1 species